CCAAAAUAAAUCAUAAAAUAUCAGUUCAUACGAUGUUGAUGGUAUAGUCCACGGUCACAUGACCCUCCUAAGCGCGCCACCAAGCGCUAUUUAUGGUGUGUCCAGGAAGUGCCUCAGUUUGGCCCAUGCGCGGAGGCAACCAGAGGCAGCAGCAGCAGCAGGAAACUGACUGUGAAACAGUGAUUGCACGGGUCAUGCACUCAACAACUGCUUGGUUUUGAGGACAGCAAAUAUCACCAAUAUCAUUAAGAUCAAGGUCAGGGCGGAGGAUCAUCAUUAACUUUAUGAGCCACACCUGGGCCAGGUGUGGUUUCUGAUAUAAAAGCUCACCAUCUUCCCAUGGAGUCCCUUCUUUCUCUGUCUCCCCUUGCAAGUGUAGCUGUUGUUUUGUUUUGUUUGCUGCAGACAUUUCCACACAUCCGUACAUGCUCACAUGACUGAUUACUGACUUCCAUGUUUUUUUUCCCCAUUCUUUAUUGUUAUUUUGUAAAUAAAUAUGCUUAUGUCGGAGCCUAGGACCCGGACUGUGACAAAUGGCAGGGCAACGACAAUGGGUCAUGUCAGUGGCAAGCACUAUGGGACAUGACUUGAUAAGACUUCUCUGCAAACACAGAACUGUGGGGUAUUGGGUACAAGCUGGAAAGCUGAAAAGUCACACUCCAUUAGUGAUCUGUUUCCAACGUUGGUUGUGAGAAUGGCUAUGGCAGUUGAUAAUACAGCAAGCUUUCACCAUUCCACCGCGUUUUAAAGGUUGGUAAGAUAAACAUCACCACAACAUCUACCUCCACUUCUAAAACUACUUGGUUAUAAUACUGGAAAUAAUUUGUUGCUAAAUUGAAACUGAGAAACUGAGUUUGUGGAAUUAAACUAUUUA